UGACCGCGUAUGCUGCGUUUUAUCAUUCAGAAUUAUGGUGUGUACACAUCAGAUAGAGUCUCUUCUCAUUUUUAAUCGUCUUAUUUUUAGGGAGUUACCCUCUCAGAGUUGUUGGAGGCAAAGAGAAGCUUCAGCCCGUCGAAGCUGGAGCUGCACGCAGACGAGGAGGGGCAGUGUCUCCAGAGAAGAGUCCCCGAGGACACGACCGACCCCAGCCCGUCUCUGAGGGACGGACACCCGUGUGAACACCCGGAUGAGCAAGGAAACUGGAAAAGAAGACCAAGAAGCAAACCUGAAAGGUCAUCUUUUUGCCUCUCAUCAUCAUCAGUUAAAGGAGCGUGUGGUUUCACCCCGAGUCUGAGGACUCACCUCUCCUGCAUUGAGUCUGAGUGGACAGAUGAAAAUGACAACAUCCUUCACGGUUCCUGGGAUGUGUGUGUGACACAGCAGCAGACUGAAGACCGCAAUCUCAGCGCUGAGCUC